AUCCGGCCGAGUUGUAAUUUGCAGAGGAUGUUAUGGAAUCUGUAUGGACUCAAGUCCUUUGGAAAAAGGCGCCACGGAGAGUGACAGUCUCGUACUUUCCAAUACAUUUUCCACGUAUAACUCCUUCAAAGAGUCGAGUUGUUUGGGAAUGCAGCUCAAAGUGGGACGUAAAUUUGUUCCAAAGCUAAAUACCGGCUAGAAACCGAUAGCGCACAAGUAGAGUGAUCGAAAGAUGAAAAGCACUUUGAAAAGAGAGUUAAAAAGCACGUGAAAUUGUUGAAAGGGAAGCUUAUGUCAUCAGAACUGACGUCGUUGUUCAGCCUUUUGGUGUAUUCAAUGAUCGUCAUGCCAGCAUCAAUUUGGGUAGUUGGAUAAAAGUGUUGGAAAUGUAACUCUUUCGGGAGUGUUAUAGUCCGAUACAGAAUGCAACUCAUCCAGAUUGAGGACCGCCUU
rnacentral:rRNA from 1 species